ACCUAGAUUUCCUGGAUCACAGAUCAAUGCUCAAUCACUGAGCCAUGCCUGGCCAAGCAGAUACCUUUUCUUUUAGUUCAUGGGUUCCCAGACUUGGAGGAGCCCCUCUGGACCGAUGAAGUGCACUGUACACUGCCCAAGAUGCUGGUUUUUGAGCUGGAGGAUGUGCCUGCAUGGGACCUUGCAGGUGUUGCUCUUGGGAGAGCAACAGGACAUCAUGUGACCUCUGUCACCACCUUCCUGGUUUAUCAGUGUUGGAAUUGGAGGCUGGAAGAGAGUGAAAGAAAUGACACUAAAACCCAAAAGUCUUACUUCUAAUUUGCCUUCCUUAAUGACUUGAUUUCUCAUUUUCAUGGUACAAUAUAUAUUAAAUAUAUGUAUAUUUAUAUGUCUGUUAAAAAUAUGAAAGUUCAUUUUCUCAUUGCACAGUCAAAACCAAUGUUUAAAACAUAAUAUGUAUCAAUGAUGUGUUUCUUUGUUUUAUUACAAACCCAUGAAAAGAAAAACUGUAUAACACCUGAAGCAUGGAAAAGUCAAAGUUUUAGGAGGGUAACUUAAUAGUAACUGUUAGACAAGGGCUGGCCAGGGAUUUGUGUCUCCAGUGAAAAAGGCCUCAUGGAAUUUUCUCACUGAAAGGACCCUAAGAACUUAUUAACACGAGGGUCUUCCUUUUCCAAAUGGAAUAACUGAGUCCUGGGGAAAUCAAAGUAAUGUUAAAGGUCACCCAGCUACUUAGCAGCAAAGCCAGAAUCCACCCAGGUUGUUCUGGCUUUCGGUCAGGCUCUUUCAGAACAUCCCGUGUCCCCUCUAUGACGGGCACAGAAGUUUCUUAUCAUCAAGGUUAAAAUGAAAAACCUCAUAAGCUGAAGACCGAUUUCGACACUCGCUUAGAAAACAGUUGGAUCCAACUAGCACGUGCUCUUCUGAUUGGAUGGAAACUUGUAGCCUGAUGAAGCAGGGGAUUUCUACCUCCAAAAUAAAGCCAAAGUGAUUUUUCUGAGACCAAAGGAAGAACAUGGAGGUUUCCAAAGCUCAUCAGCAGACACAAACCACCUAAAGGAUAUCACCGUUCAUGUCCCUUUUAGGUCGGAUGUUCCUCGAGGAUGAGAAUUACUCAGCUGUGUAUCCUGCACCCAGCACACAGUCGUUGCAGACAUUUCUUGUUAAUGAAUGAGGCAUCUAAAUCAUUGUUUUAUACCCUGGCAUUGGGCCCUUUUCAAAAAGCACUUAACAAACAUGUGUCGAAUUUCCUGUGCUGUCAGAAAUAUUGUUUAAUCAUAGUGUUAAAAAUAAAGAACUCCAGGGCUCACUGAAUUAAA